rfam:Citrus clementina cultivar Clemenules unplaced genomic scaffold scaffold_2, whole genome shotgun sequence.
AGGAGAAUUCCAGGGCAAUUCUCCUUUGGCAGAAAAUAUUGCGCUUGUACGUACACGCACGGUGUAGUACUUGCACAGGCGCUAUAAUAUAUAAUAUUUGCCGCCAAAGGAGAAUUGCCCUGCCAUUCAACU